GCAGAAAAUAAACAGAUACCAAGAAUCACAUAGCUAUUGAUUGUAACACUGCUAUAUUAAUUGAGUUUUACUCCAAGCAAGAGGCUUGGAUGCAUGCAUAUACCCUACUGAAAAAUUGAUAAAACUCUCUCAUGCUUACUUUUAAGAACACAUGAGAGAAAUUGUCAGGUCAACACUGUUAAAAGGAGGCUGCUCGCGCACACUAAAAAACCACGGCAUCAUACAGGAAGACAGCAACUAAGAUAGGUCAGGAACUUGUUCUUUUUCCUCUGCACAAAGGACAUGUCCAAAAUGAUUACAGGUACGGUUGCAACUUGCAUAACUACAAUGUAUAUGGAAGCUAUGUUGGUAUAUAAUGUUUGGCAUGUUCUGAUCCUAGGGCAUUAAGCAAGUACGAAUAUGGAUCUGAACAAACCCCAAUAUGCACUUAUGUUCAGUUACAUGAGGAAAUUCUGUCUGGAGAAUCUUAUAAAGCAUAGCAUUGAAGAUGAGUUUACCGUGUAACACAAUUUUUUUCGAGUUUAGGAUGUCUUACCCUGGCAGCU
rnacentral:lncRNA from 1 species